rnacentral:rRNA from 1 species
AACGUAGGGGGCAAGCGUUGCCCGGAUUCACUGGGCGUAAAGCGGGUGUAGGCGGUUCCUUAAGUCGGUUGUGAAAUCCUGCGGCCCAACCGCAGAAUUGCGUCCGAAACUGGGGAACUUGAGGACGGUAGAGGUCGGUGGAAUUCCCGGUGUACCGGUGAAAUGGGCAGAUAUCGGGAGGAACACCAGUGGCGAAGGCGGCCGACUGGGCCGAUCCUGACGCUGAGACCCGAAAGCCAGGGUAGCGAACCGG